ACUCCUACGGGAGGCAGCAGUGGGGAAUAUUGGACAAUGGGGGGACCCUGAUCCAGCCAUGCCGCGUGUGUGAAGAAGGCCUUAUGGUUGUAAAGCACUUUAAAGCGAGGAGGAGGCUACUCUAGUUAAUACCUAGGGGAUAGUGGACGUUACUCGCAGAAUAAGCACCGGCUAACUCUGUGCCAGCAGCCGCGGUAAUACAGAGGGUGCGAGCGUUAAUCGGAUUUACUGGGCGUAAAGCGUGCGUAGGCGGCUUAUUAAGUCGGAUGUGAAAUCCCCGNG
rnacentral:rRNA from 1 species